GACGAACGCUGGCGGCGUGCUUAACACAUGCAAGUCGAACGGAAAGGCCCUGCUUUUGUGGGGUGCUCGAGUGGCGAACGGGUGAGUAACACGUGAGUAACCUUCCCUUGACUUUGGGAUAACUUCAGGAAACUUGGGCUAAUACCGGAUAGGAUCUCCUGCUGCAUGGUGGGGGUUGGAAAGUUUCGGCGGUUGGGGAUGGACUCGCGGCUUAUCAGCUUGUUGGUGGGGUAGUUGCUUACCAAGGGUUUGACGGGUAGCCGGCCUGAGAGGGUGACCGGCGACAUUGGGACGGAGAUACGGACCAGAAUACUACGGGAGGCAGCAGUGGGGAAUAUUGCACAAUGGGCGGAAGCAUGAUGAAGAAACGCAGCGUGCGGGAUGACGGCCUUCGGGUUGUAAAACGAUUUAGAAUGUGAAGAAGAGUGAGUGACGGUAAUGGGUAAAGAAGCACCGGCUAACUACGUG
rnacentral:rRNA from 1 species